UGGGGACUGUGGGGACUCACAAGAAGCCUGGAAGUGCCGGAUCCGAGCCAUGCAGGAAGGACUGGGAGAAUGCCUGUUGUUAAUUGUCACCACUGAAGUACCCAGCUCCGGGGAAGUAAUCAAUAAGUAUUUGUUGACUGACUGGCUAAAUCAAUGAAAAUGUGUAAGCAGAGAGGUGCAUUAUCAGGCCACUGGAUCAGAAGCAGAGCAACCGAGACUUGAACUGGUGACAGCACGAUACCGGUGUUGCAGGAGGUGGCUUGACUUACUGCAUCACAACAAUGGCCCUGGCCGAGGCCUUGUGCAGGACACAGUCCUCCCAUGCCUGGACACCCACCACCUCCACAGAUACCCGAGUGACUACUGAAAGCAGCCCCAACUCUUGCCCUCAUGAAGCUGUCCCUAUAGGAGAGGUAUGUGUGAGCCAGCCAUGAAAGAAAACAAUAUGGUGGGUGUGAUUUAGGUGGGGGUGGAGGGUAGUGGUCAGGGCCAGCCUUGCAGAGGGCAUGGCUUCCAAGCUCAGAUCUGCAGGGUAAGCAGUGUUAAGUGUGGGCUAACAGCCACAAACAGAG